AUGAGGAGCUUCUCGUCUGCUCCAACUCCUACUCUCGGUUGUUACUCCGGUUUAGGUCAUGAAAGGUACUUGGCAAUGAGUAUAAAGGGCCGAAUUGGGUGAGCUUCCUAUGCCACUUUUCAACGGUUCAAGCAGCUGGUUGUAAAUGUGGAAUAGUAGGAUAAGUUGACGUACAAGGUAGUCCUUUUUGGAGUAGACAUGCAGAAAUUGAAGAGCUGCUGGAAGUCCAUACUAUGAUGAAGGAAUGAGAUGCAAUAAAUCUACCACUAAUAAAUUUGGAAAGUAACAGCCUUUAAAACUUUUGCCUAACAUGCACCCCAACAGUUUCAAAAAACAGGAGACAUGACUCAGGAAUUAACUCCAAUGCAACGUUAACCAUUUGAAACUUCUAGGACCUUGAUUCUUCUUGGCUUGGAGGAGGACGUGUUACAAUUUUGUUCCAAUUAUUUCAUUUGUGUAAUGGUAUAUGUAUCAUGGUGGAGUUUUCUACUAUUACCAUACUUUUAUUCAUCAAUCCCAUUGAUUUGUGCUACUUAAAGAACAAUCAGUCUUUAGUUUUUUGGAGUAUAACACUUGAGUCUAUCCACCUUGGAGCAGUUUCUC